rnacentral:misc_RNA from 1 species
AAGUCGUAACAAGGUAACCGUAGGUGAACCUGCGGUUGGAUCAUUAGUGGUUUUUACGUAGCGCUGUUGUAGUGUUUCUGGGGGGUGUUGGUCUUUGGUUUUGGUUUUGGUGUCUUUUUGUUUGUCUGUUUUUGUGCAUUGCCUUGUGCUGCCUUGUGCGGUGUCUUGUGCGGUGCCGUGGCAGUACAAACGGAUCGACGGCAACACUCGGACCAGACCCAAGAACCCUUGCAGACAAUAGACGUCUUUGCUUGCUUUGAUGAAACCAAAUCAAAAACAACUUUUGACAACGGAUCUCUUGGCUCUC